rnacentral:rRNA from 1 species
CGUCUAGGCCAGCAUCAGUUCGUCGCGGGGGAAAAAGGCUUCGGGAACGUGGCUCCUCCGGGAGUGUUAUAGCCCGUUGCAUAAUACCCUGCGGUGGACUGAGGACCGCGCAUCUGCAAGGAUGCUGGCGUAAUGGUCACCAGCGA